rnacentral:lncRNA from 1 species
GCAGAAAGGAGAGCAGGAGAGGCAGCUUGCAGAAGGUCCUCCCAUGCAGGUUGAGAAUUGUCUAUGAAAACUAUAACUUGAGUUUUUGAGGAACUGGUCCUACUUUCAAGCAAUGCAUGGCUACAACGCACAGCUGUUUGGACCACAAAGACUGAGAUGCUGGACCUCACCAUCUGCAUAGAAGAGGAUACAGGGAGACGAGAGGACUUUUUAAAGACAGGAUUCCACGUGGCACCACGUCGCUAGAGUUGACAAAGGUGAGUGAGGCUUUCAGAAACAAAGCCCACCUCAUUCUGAAGCUCUUUAUGGCCUGGAUUUUUAUCAAACUGACGGACACUGCCAAGCUGAAUGUUCCUGUGCUGGUCUGCUGGGGCUGCCAUAACAAAUAUCACAACUGAGUGGCUUGAGC